GUGCCAGCAGCCGCGGUAACACGUAGGCACCAAGCGUUGUCCGGAUUUAUUGGGCGUAAAGAGCUCGUAGGCGGUUCGGUAAGUCGGGUGUGAAAACUUUGGGCUCAACCCAAAGCGUGCACUCGAUACUGCUGUGACUAGAGUUCGGUAGGGGAGCGGGGAAUUCCUAGUGUAGCGGUGAAAUGCGCAGAUAUUAGGAGGAACACCGGUGGCGAAGGCGCCGCUCUGGGCCGAAACUGACGCUGAGGAGCGAAAGCGUGGGUAGCAAACAGGAUUAGAUACCCUGGUAGUCC
rnacentral:rRNA from 1 species